rnacentral:rRNA from 1 species
AUUGAACGCUGGCGGCAUGCUUUACACAUGCAAGUCGAACGGUAACAGGCCGCAAGGUGCUGACGAGUGGCGAACGGGUGAGUAAUGCAUCGGAACGUGCCCAGUCGUGGGGUAUAACUACUCGAAAGAGUAGCUAAUACCGCAUACGAUCUAUGGAUGAAAGCGGGGGACCGUAAGGCCUCGCGCGAUUGGAGCGGCCGAUGUCAGAUUAGGUAGUUGGUGGGGUAAAGGCUCACCAAGCCAACGAUCUGUAGCUGGUCUGAGAGGACGACCAGCCACACUGGGACUGAGACACGGCCCAGACUCCUACGGGAGGCAGCAGUGGGGAAUUGUGGACAAUGGGCGCAAGCCUGAUCCAGCAAUGCCGCGUGCAGGAAGGAGGCCUUCGGGUUGUAAACUGCUUUUGUACGGAACGAAACGGCUCUGGUUAAUACCCGGGGCUAAUGACGGUACCGUAAGAAUAAGCACCGGCUAACUACGUG